AGCUUCUUGCAGAAUAACAAUUCACCUUCAUAUGUUCCACUAUUAUUAUUGUUGAGAGACGCAACUACUCAAGAUGGAGAACUCCAGGCAGAUAUCAAUAGACACAAGCACACAAGUACUCAGCAAGAUCCGAAAAUCUUAUCUGCUGCAUCUAAUGGGGAUCCAUUUUUUUAUGAUGAUGGGGACGGAAUCACUGCGCUCAAACCAUUGGUUCGCGUUUCCGAAGGAGGUAAUCGCUGGCCAAGACAAGAGACUUUGGCACUCUUGAAAAUAAGGUCGGAUAUGGACAUGGCAUUUCGAGAUGCCAGUGUAAAGGGUCCCUUGUGGGAAGAGGUUUC
rnacentral:misc_RNA from 1 species